rnacentral:lncRNA from 1 species
ACACAAAAAAAAAAACGUAGUCAGAAUCUCACUUCAUUUUGAAACAAGUCAAUGAAACAAAGUUAUAGCAAUACACUAACCAAAACAUGAUUAAGAGUUAUUCAACACAAAAUAAAACGUUGACAGAAUCCCACUUUAUUUAGAAAGGAUUAUUAUUUUUUUUAACAAAACACUAUCGAAAACAUAAUUAAGAUUUAUUCAACACAAAAAAAAAUCUGUCUCACUUUAUUUUGAGACAAUGACAACAGUUAUAGUAUAAGAAUACACUUGCUUACAAAGUUAUUAAGCACAAAACCAAUUAAGAUUGGGCGCGAACAUGUAGGGUGCGAACGGACUUUGGGUGCGAACAUGUAGGAUGCGAAAGUGAAAGGG